CGGGAACACGUUCUCCGUGUCGAUCGGACUACCGCUUACGGUGGAAUCGCGCCGGCGCAGGCAAGGCCUGACGGCUGGAUUUGGGAGAGGCCGAGAGAGAGUUUUUGAGAGCUCUCUGAUUUUUUAGUGGGGUGGGGGAAAACUGAAUUUUUUUGUUUAUUUUUUCAUUUAUAUUGAUUCUAAAACGACGCCGUUUUGGGUUUAGGCAACAAUGGCCAAAACGACGUCGUUUCACGUCUGACCCGAAUACCCGACCCGUUUAGCGGAGGAUCCGCGCGUUUUCAAGGCCGAAUGGGCUAUUUGCGCUUCGGGUCCCUUUGAUUUGAUGCUUGUGUUCAAU
rnacentral:lncRNA from 1 species